rnacentral:rRNA from 1 species
AGUCGAGCGGCAGCGACUUAACUGAACCUUCGGGGAACGUUAAGGGCGGCGAGCGGCGGACGGGUGAGUAAUGCCUGGGAAUAUGCCCUGAUGUGGGGGAUAACUAUUGGAAACGAUAGCUAAUACCGCAUAAUCUCUUCGGAGCAAAGAGGGGGACCUUCGGGCCUCUCGCGUCAGGAUUAGCCCAGGUGGGAUUAGCUUGUUGGUGAGGUAAUGGCUCACCAAGGCAACGAUCCCUAGCUGGUCUGAGAGGAUGAUCAGCCACACUGGAACUGAGACACGGUCCAGACUCCUACGGGAGGCAGCAGUGGGGAAUAUUGCACAAUGGGGGAAACCCUGAUGCAGCCAUGCCGCGUGUGUGAAGAAGGCUUCGGGUUGUAAAGCACUUUCAGUAGGGAGGAAGGUAGUGUAGUUAACACCUGCACUAUUUGACGUUACCUACAGAAGAAGCACCGGCUAACUCCGUGCCAGCAGCCGCGGUAAUACGGAGGGUGCGAGCGUUAAUCGGAAUUACUGGGCGUAAAGCGCAUGCAGGCGGCCUGUUAAGUCAGAUGUGAAAGCCCGGGGCUUAACCUCGGAAUUGCAUUUGAAACUGGCAGGCUAGAGUCUUGUAGAGGGGGGUAGAAUUUCAGUGUAGCGGUGAAAUGCGUAGAGAUCUGAAGAAUACCAGUGGCGAAGCGGCCCCCUGGACAAAGACUGACGCUCAGAUGCGAAAGCGUGGGGAGCAAACAGGA